CGAGCGCACUUCUUAUACCGAACCUUCGGGUUCACUUUAAGAGUUGAGCGGCGGACGGGUGAGUAACACGUAGGCAACCUACCCUUAAGACUGGGAUAACUACGGGAAACCGUGGCUAAUACCGGAUAAUAUCUUACUUCAUAAGAAAUGAGAUUGAAAGAUGGAUUUACUAUCACUUAAGGAUGGGCCUGCGGCGCAUUAGCUAGUUGGUGAGGUAGUAGCUCACCAAGGCGACGAUGCGUAACCGACCUGAGAGGGUGAUCGGCCACACUGGGACUGAAACACGGCCCAGACUCCUACGGGAGGCAGCAGUAGGGAAUCUUCCGCAAUGGACGCAAGUCUGACGGAACAACGCCGCGUGUGUGAUGAAGGAUUUCGGUUCGUAAAGCACUGUUGUUAAGGAAGAAUAGUAGUAAGAGUAACUGUUUACUAAUUGACGGUACUUAACCAGAAAAGCCACGGGCUAACUACGUGCCAGCAGCCGCGGGUAAUACGUAGGUGGCAAGCGUUAUCCGGGAAUUAUUGGGCGUAAAGCGCGCGUAGGCGGCAAGAUUAGUCUGAUGUGAAAGCCCCCGGCUCAACCGGGGAGGGUCAUUGGAAACUGUCUUGCUUGAGUGCAGAAGAGGAGAGUGGAAUUCCAUGUGUAGCGGUGAAAUGCGCAGAGAUAUGGAGGAACACCAGUGGCGAAAGCGGCUCUCUGGUCUGCAACUGACGCUGAUGUGCGAAAGCGUGGGGAUCAAACAGGAUUAGAUACCCUGGUAGUCCACGCCGUAAACGAUGAGUGCUAAGUGUUAGGGGGUUUCCGCCCCUUAGUGCUGCAGCAAACGCAUUAAAGCACUCCGGCCUGGGGAGUACGAUCGCAAGAUUGAAACUCAAAGGGAAUUGACGGGGACCCGCCACAAGCGGUGGAGCAUGUGGAUUUAAUUCGAAGCAACGCGAAGAACCUUACCAAAUCUUGACAUCCUCUGACAGCGAUAGAGAUAUCGUUUCCCUUCGGGGCAGAGAGACAGGUGGUGCAUGGUUGUCGUCAGCUCGUGUCGUGAGAUGUUGGGUUAAGUCCCGCAACGAGCGCAACCCUUAACUUUAGUUGCCAUCAUUGAGUUGGGCACUCUAGAGUGACUGCCGGUGACAAACCGGAGGAAGGUGGGGAUGACGUCAAAUCAUCAUGCCCCUUAUGAUUUGGGCUACACACGUGCUACAAUGGACAGGUUACAAAGGGCAGCGAAGUCGUGAGGCCAAGCGAAUCCCAUAAAACUGUUCUCAGUUCGGAUUGGAGUCUGCAACUCGACUCCAUGAAGCUGGAAUCGCUAGUAAUCGUGGAUCAGCAUGCCACGGUGAAUACGUUCCCGGGUCUUGUACACACCGCCCGUCACACCACGAAAGUUGGUAAUCACCUGAAGCCGGUGGCCUAA
rnacentral:rRNA from 1 species